GACGAACGCUGGCGGCGUGCUUAACACAUGCAAGUCGAGCGGAAAGGCCACUUCGGUGGUACUCGAGCGGCGAACGGGUGAGUAACACGUGAGUAAUCUGCCCCUCACUUUGGGAUAGCCACCGGAAACGGUGAUUAAUACCGGAUAUGACCAUAUGUCGCAUGGCGUGUGGUGGAAAGUUUUUCGGUGAGGGAUGUGCUCGCGGCCUAUCAGCUUGAUGGUGAGGUAAUGGCUCACCAUGGCUUCGUCGGGUAGCCGGCCUGAGAGGGUGACCGGUCACAAGGGGACUGAGACACGGCGCAGACUCGAACGUGAGGCAGUAGUGGAAAAUAUUACACAAUGAGCGGAAGCGUGAGCCAACGGCGCCGCGUGAGUGAAAACGGGCUUCGAGGUGUGAACCUAUGUCUGUACCGACGAGGCGCAAGUGACGGUAGGUACAGAAGAAGCACCGGCCAACUACGUG
rnacentral:rRNA from 1 species